GUGGAGGAGGACGCCUUUCUCCGAGUGUGCGGCCUCGUCGAAGGAAGAACUUGUCGGAACGAAGAUCUCCUGGAGAAGACGGCUGUUGUUGCCUGGAGGAACGGCCGAUCGAAUGUGGAGCAACGAACUUGGAACUUCCAGGAAAGAGGAGAAAAUAAUCUCAGUCAGUAGAUCGAUGAUCCUUCCUGAGAAGUAUCAUACCUUUAUUAUUAUCGUUCCAUGGAAAGAUGGAGGCGCUAGACCGAGAGAAGAAGAGUACGAAGAGAUACAAAAGGACAAGGAGGAUGAGGAAGAAGAAGAAGAAAAAGAAGAAGAAAAAAAGGAAAAAAAGAAGACUAUUCGUGGGAGCACGUUUCAUUCGUCAUAACACAUCGUGAAAGAAAGCUGGAGGUGUAUAUUGUAUAUGCGUGAAUCGAGUCAAAAAAAAAUAUAUAUAUAUAUAGAAAUUGAUAAAGAGAAAAAGAGAGAGAGAGAGAGAGGAAGAGAAAGAGAGAUAGAAAAAGAGAAAGAGAGAGAAAAAGAGAGAGAAACAAAGACAGAGAAAGAAAAAGAAAAACAAAUACAGAAAAAGAGAGAGAGAGAGAGAGAGAGAGGAAGAGAGACGUAUCCAUAAUAUAAGAAUCUCUUUUAGUUAGAUAGAAAUUGUGUGAGCGUGAGCACGCACACACGAGCGAACGAACGAACGAGAGAACGAGCACCUUGUCAGAAUCGUCGAGAAAAAGUCGAGUAUGCCCUUACAAGUCCGCGAGCAACGCGUUGCAACUCGUUCGCGGUGAGCACACGUUUCUAUUGGGUGUCGCACCUACGGAUAUCUCCUGGCAAGACUAUUUAU